UACGUAGGGUGCGAGCGUUAAUCGGAAUUACUGGGCGUAAAGGGUGCGCAGGCGGUUUUGCAAGUCAGAUGUGAAAGCCCCGGGCUUAACCUGGGAAUUGCGUUUGAAACUACAAGGCUAGAGUGCAGCAGGAGGGGAGUGGAAUUCCAUGUGUAGCAGUGAAAUGCGUAGAGAUGUGGAAGAACACCGAUGGCGAAGGCAACUCCCCUGGGCCUGCACUGACGCU
rnacentral:rRNA from 1 species